AUUUAUUAAGUUUUAUAACGUUUCAUUUUCAAUGAAAAGAUGGAAAUUUACUGAUUUCUGAUAAAUA
rnacentral:tRNA from 1 species